rnacentral:rRNA from 1 species
GACGAACGCUGGCGGCGUGCCUAAUACAUGCAAGUAGAACGCUGAAGGAGGAGCUUGCUUCUCUGGAUGACUUGCGAACGGGUGAGUAACGCGUAGGUAACCUGCCUGGUAGCGGGGGAUAACUAUUGGAAACGAUAGCUAAUACCGCAUAAGAGUAGAUGUUGCAUGACAUUUGCUUAAAAGGUGCAAUUGCAUCACUACCAGAUGGACCUGCGUUGUAUUAGCUAGUUGGUGGGGUAACGGCUCACCAAGGCGACGAUACAUAGCCGACCUGAGAGGGGGAUCGGCCACACUGGGACUGAGACACGGCCCAGACUCCUACGGGAGGCAGCAGUAGGGAAUCUUCGGCAAUGGACGGAAGUCUGACCGAGCAACGCCGCGUGAGUGAAGAAGGUUUUCGGAUCGUAAAGCUCUGUUGUAAGAGAAGAACGAGUGUGAGAGUGGAAAGUUCACACUGUGACGGUAUCUUACCAGAAAGGGACGGCUAACUACGUG